rnacentral:rRNA from 1 species
UACAGAGGGUGCAAGCGUUAAUCGGAAUUACUGGGCGUAAAGCGCGCGUAGGUGGUUUGUUAAGUUGGAUGUGAAAGCCCCGGGCUCAACCUGGGAACUGCAUUCAAAACUGACAAGCUAGAGUAUGGUAGAGGGUGGUGGAAUUUCCUGUGUAGCGGUGAAAUGCGUAGAUAUCGAGCGGAACACCAGUGGCGAAGGCGAGUCUCUGGACACUUCCUGACGCUGAGGCACGAAAGCCAGGGGAGCAAACGGG